CGAAAUCACCACCAUCAAACCCACCAGACUUUUUUCAGCGUGUAUAGAGCAGCAUAUCUCCACCAGACUCCAUGUAAAUAAUCACUACUUUUAGCGUGUAUAGAGCAAACAUAUCUCCACAGACAUCCAUGUAAAUAAUCACUACUUUUAGUGUGUUAUAGAGCAACAUAUCUCCA